AGGGCCAUGACUCUUCUCAAGGAAAAAGUAUUGAAGGGCAUAGUGCUAAGGCGGACGGAAAUAUGCUGAGAUGUAGAUCUUGCUCUUCCACCAAAGAAGAAGCCAGCCAUUUCAUCGAAGAGUGAAAUUUUGGGAAAGAAUAUCACGUAAAUGCAUGAAUGAUGUUGGGGUACUGACAUUUCAUGCAACACAUGUACAUGGAACAAUGUAUUAGGUAAACGCUGUAUGGAUGCAUUUCCCAUAGCUUUGAGAAGGCAAAGAUCCUCUCCUUGCUUGAAAAUUACUGGUAUGUUAGUUAUAUCUCAGUAUUAUCCACUGACGAAGUUAUGUUGUUGAUUUUCAGAUGGUAUUCGAGCCGUACUUUCUUUGGGUUAUAGAGCCAUUGCCAUCACACGGGUCCUCGAUGCCACUGAUUGGGCGAGAACCGAGAAGCUUACCGCGGCGAAGAGUGCUGGCUUCGCCGACGGUGAAAAUGUUGACCACCUUACAAAGGAAACAAUAGUCCUCCCAGUCAGUCACCCUUGGUCAAGGGAAAGGAGAUCAUUGUUCUUUCUUCUGACGAUGAAGACUACUACUGGGAAAGCUGGGUCUAACGACUAGAAGGGCACAAGGAAAAUGAUUAUAUGUAUAUAUCAUGUAGUCUGGUAUCGUUCCUUACAGCUGCGCUUUCAGGAUCUAUUUCGUGCAGGCAAAAUCGGACAACUUGGUCGUAUAACAAUGACUUACACUUAAGUUAUUGCGAUGGCAGUCAGACCGGCCACAUUUGAUAGUUGGCUCCAAAGCAUACAUAUAAUGGAUUGCCUCUACUUAGGCGUUUCCUAAAAUACAUUUUGUCUGUAAAUAAUGUGUUCUCUAAUC